rnacentral:rRNA from 1 species
GGGAUUGCCCUAGUAACGGCGAGUGAAGCGGCAACAGCUCAAAUUUGAAAUCUGGCGCAAGCCCGAGUUGUAAUUUGUAGAGGAUGCUUCUGGGUAGCGACCGAUCUAAGUUCCUUGGAACAGGACGUCAUAGAGGGUGAGAAUCCCGUAUGUGACCGGCCCGCACCCUUUACGUAGCUCCUUCGACGAGUCGAGUUGUUUGGGAAUGCAGCUCUAAAUGGGAGGUAAAUUUCUUCUAAAGCUAAAUACCGGCCAGAGACCGAUAGCGCACAAGUAGAGUGAUCGAAAGAUGAAAAGUACUUUGGAAAGAGAGUUAAAAAGCACGUGAAAUUGUUGAAAGGGAAGCGCCUGCAACCAGACUUCGCGGCAGUGUUCCGCCGGUCUUCUGACCGGUCCAUUCUCUGUCGCGAGGCCAUCAUCGUCUGGGCCCGCCGGAUAAGACCUUAGGAAUGUAGCUCACCUUCGGGGGAGUGUUAUAGCCUAGGGUGAUGCGGCGAGGCUCGGGCGAGGUCCGCGCUUCGGCAAGGAUGAUGGCGUAAUGGUUGUCGGCGGCCCGUCUUGAAACACGGACCAAGGAGUCUAACAUCUAUGCGAGUGUUCGGGUGUCAAACCCCUACGCGUAAUGAAAGUGAACGGAGGUGGGAACCGCAAGGUGCACCAUCGACCGAUCCUGAUGUCCUCGGAUGGAUUUGAGUAAGAGCAUAGCUGUUGGGACCCGAAAGAUGGUGAACUAUGCCUGAAUAGGGUGAAGCCAGAGGAAACUCUGGUGGAGGCUCGCAGCGGUUCUGACGUGCAAAUCGAUCGUCAAAUUUGGGUAUAGGGGCG